CUCCUCCCCCCUGCCCCGCCAACUAUAUACUCAGAAAAUGAUUUUGCCUUUCCUGCUGCCUUUCCCCAUCCCACAGUUGUUGCCAUUGCUGCUUAUUCUCCCAUCACUGUUUCUUUCAUCGAUAAAGCACGUGAGGGGAGAAGAAGUUACAAAAGAUCAACGUUAAUCUGAGAAGAAAUGUAAGGUAAAACAUAGUUUUGACUGUGUGUUACUGAGCUCAAGGUGAGGCUUGGGCGUGGAAAACAAAAGUCGUGUCCCACUGGAAGAUGGCACCUUCUUGCUUUAAUUUUUGUAUGCAGUAAAGUGCAGAAUUAAAUGUCUGUGUAAUCAAGAGGACUUUUCCCUUUCCCAGGUGGUUGUUAAUAUGUUACAAGUGGUGGCUUUUGCUCUUUAGCUGGGCCUCCCAGAGGAAACACUGAAGUUCAGAGAUUUUUUUGCGUGGGGCUUUUUCAGUACAGUAAUAUCAAUUGACUGGCAAAGCAUUGCUUGYGCGGAUGCGGCUCUUAACCGAAUGGCUCUGGUGCCAGUGCGCCCUGCUCCUUGCCCUCUUGUCCCUUCACCAGGUGAAAUGAGCCGUGCUGGGGGGAAUCUCAGCAGUGCGAGGCGAGUCACACUUUACCUGGGGAGGGAGGAGACUUUGCCAGUGCAGAAGUGUGGAUCAGGUGAGGAUCUGCUGCAGCAGCAGCUAAAGGAGCUGCUGGUGCUUCCCCCUCAUCAGGCAGCGCCAGGUGCUGGUGGAAAGGCUGGAGGAGCAGAGCAGGACUGGAAGUGGAGACGGCCCMGAUGAGAAGUGGAAACGGCAAGAGGAAAAGGCAGAGGGCGGUGGGCAGAAGAGACCAGGCAAGUCGGCAAAGGAGUGAGAUUUAGGCUCUGUUUUGAACUUUGCAUGUGAUGUUCACCUGAGCAUGGUCUGCUACGCACAUGGAGAGGUUAAACUUAAACUGCCAGACUGUACAUUGACCAAACUAAUUCAGGAGCCUUAUGUGUAAUUACACUGCAUGAAAGGAGCCUGUGCCUCUUGAGAAAUCUUGGUAUUGAAGAUGUACCUGAAAUACAAAAUACUGUAGUUACACAGCAUGUCGGUUUUAAUUUGUGCAGUGCAUUAAUUUGGUUGAAAAUAAAAAUGGACUUAAAAUUCUGGAUUGUCA
rnacentral:lncRNA from 1 species